rnacentral:RNase_P_RNA from 1 species
UGAGGAGGCUGGACGGCCGCGCUUCAUGGUUUUAUCAUGGAGGGAGGAAAGUCCGGACUCCACGGGCAGGGGUGCUGGGUAACGCCCAGGCGGAGCGAUCCGACACCAGCGCCACAGAAAACAUACCGCCGAUGGGUGGGGGAAGGUAUUCCUCAUCACAGGUAAGGGUGAAAUGGCGAGGUAAGAGCUCACCGCGUUUGUGGUGACACAAACGGCAUGGCAAGCGUCACCCGGAGCAAGACCAAAUAGGAGGGAAUCUUGAACAAGAGGCUGGCUCGGCCGUUGCCCUCGGGUAGGUCGCUAGAGGCCCGAAGCAAUUCGGGUUCAAGAGAAAUGGCCGUCACCGUUCUGAGGCACACUCACGACGGAACAGAAUCCGGCUUAUAGGCCUCCUCACCUG